rnacentral:tRNA from 1 species
GCCUGCAUGGCUCAGUUGGUGGGGCAUCUGACUUCAGCUCAGGUCAUGAUCUCAUGGUUCAUGGAUUCAAGCCCCGUGUCAGGCU